rnacentral:lncRNA from 1 species
UCAUAUUCCUUCUUAUUUUUCUUUAAGCUUUAUUUUUUCUUAUUAUCCAUAUGACAUGUUUCCAGAACUCUCCCUUAUCCUGAUUGUCCUCCUUUAGACACAUGCUUUUAAUGAUAUAUUUCUUAAAAUGUAUUACCCAGGACAACAUAUUUUUUUUUACUGUGGACAGUAUACUUUUACGAAUGGUGCCAAUAAUGCAUUACAUUUUUUAGCAGUCAUGUCAUCCUCUUGAUUUGCAUUGAGUCAUCAUUUCUUAAGAGGGAAUCAGGAUAUCAAAAUAGUCUCCAAACUCAGCUGAUUCCUUCUGCAGAUACACUCUCCACCCUUCUUGAUACCUUCACAUGACUCUGUCU